rnacentral:rRNA from 1 species
AUUGAACGCUAGCGGGAUGCUUUACACAUGCAAGUCGAACGGAGUCGCGGGCGGGUGAGUAAUAUAUCGGACCGUGACCAGUAGCGGAGGAUACCUAAUCGAAAGAGAGGCUAAUAACGCACACUAUUGGAGGGGCCGAUAUCGGAGUCGCUAGUUGGUGGGGUAAAGGCUCACCAAGGCAACGAUCCGUAGCGGGGUUGAGAGGACGACCAGCCACACUGGUACGGAGACACGGCCCAGACUCCUACGGGAGGCAGCAGUGGGGAAUUUUGGACAAUGGGGGAAACCCGGAUCCAGCCAUCCCGCGUGUAUGAUGAAGGCCUUCGGGUUGUAAAGUACUUUUGGCAGGGAAGCGGUAUCUGCAGAAUAAGCACCGGCUAACUACGUGCCAGCAGCCGCGGUAAUAC